rnacentral:rRNA from 1 species
CCUACGGGCGGCUGCAGUAGGGAAUAUUGGACAAUGGGCGCAAGCCUGAUCCAGCCAUCCCGCGUGAAGGAUUAAGGCCCUAUGGGUUGUAAACUUCUUUUCUCUGGGAAUAAAAAGUGAGAUUCUUCUCGCCUUGAAGGUACCAGAGGAAUAAGCACCGGCUAACUCCGUGCCAGCAGCCGCGGUAAUACGGAGGGUGCAAGCGUUAUCCGGAUUCACUGGGUUUAAAGGGUGCGUAGGUGGCUUUGUAAGUCAGUGGUGAAAUGCCGCAGCUC